GGCGGAUCCAGUGCAUGGUGAGGGUGUGCACCUGCACACCCUGAAAUUUGAAAAUUUCCACCGGUACCCCUCUUUUUUUCUAAUUUUGACCACCCUGAAUAUUUUAUUUUGCACCUUGACCCCUUGACACCCAAAGUCUGAAACUCCACUCUCACAAUACAAUUUCACACUUCUCUCUACACUUCUCUCUAAACUAAUAUUCUCUCAUAUCAUGUCAAAACUAUUCACACAAACCACCGAAAAUCUGAUCUGAAGAUUCUGAACCGGCGGCGGCGACCACUCCAGCCACCACCAUUGUCCAUGACCGCGCGAGAUCUCCUCUCAGUCUCCUAUCUCUGCGAUUUUUCAGUGCGAUUUCUCCAUUUUAAUUUCUCUGCGAUUUUGUUGUGCGAAUUUCUCAGAUUUCUGUGCGAUUUCUCUCCCUAUUCAUCGCCACAACCCUUCCUCACGAAGAUUCAGACAACAUUAGCAAGGAUUUUUAAUGGGGGAGGAUUCUCACACCCUAAGUUUUAGCUAUUCUUUGUGCAGAAGCUGAAGGGUGUGGAAGAAGCACCCUGGUAUGCUCUUAAUAUAGCUGAACUACCACAUAGGAUUGUAUUUGCAUCUUUGGAAGGAAUUGGUGAUCUUUCACAAAAGUUGGUUGAAACUAGAAGACAUGUUGUUUAUCCAUUAGUUUAUCAACUAUUGAAGUUAGCGAUGAUUUUACCUGUCGCCACAACAACCGUCGAACGUUCCUUUUCUGCCAUGAAGAUUGUAAAAACUAGAUUACGCAAUCGAAUGGGGGACAAAUAGAUGAAUGAUUGUCUGGUGACUUAUAUUGAAAGCGAUGUGUUGGAGCAAAUUGAUGAUGAGCCGAUUAUUCAACGAUUUCAGAGCAUGGAUUCGCGUAAAGGACAAUUAUAAAGAAUGGUCCUGGAUCCGCCACUGGUGCUUCA